GACAGAGGGUGCAAACGUUGUUCGGAAUUACUGGGCGUAAAGCGCGUGUAGGCGGCUGCGUGUGUCGGGCGUGAAAUCCCAUGGCUCAACCAUGGAAGUGCACCCGAAACUGCGUAGCUAGAGUCCUGGAGAGGAAGGUGGAAUGCUUGGUGUAGAGGUGAAAUUCGUAGAUAUCAAGCGGAACACCGGUGGCGAAGGCGGCCUUCUGGACAGUGACUGACGCUGAGACGGCGAAA
rnacentral:rRNA from 1 species